UAGAGUCAGUGUUUGCUGCGUAUUAUAAAAUAUUUUCUAGAGCAUCGCGGCUCUGAUUUUUCUUUUUCCAUCGCGAAAGUAGAGUCGCUAUAAUUGUUCGCCGGAAAUUAUUCACGGUCGCGUUACUUUAUAUCUUUAUUUUUAUUUUUAAUUUUUUUUUUAUUGCUCGAUAUAUUCGGUAUUAGAGUCACGGCACCACUGAAGAGGAGUCUUGGGCGUUGCUCCAUAAGGAAAGAGUAUGAAUUUUUGAACUUUGGCGAGUUCCUGAUGGCUUCCGUCUUCUCCUGUAAGGCAACCUCCUACCUGGUGUGCAUCCUCCUACCUAGUUGUUGAGCAUCCUUCUACUUGACUGUCGGAAGAAGAGUAUAUCUGCGAACGGAACUAUGCCAUUGAGAUUGUGAAGUGUACCACAUUGCAAGUACAAUUUUACGGAAAGAAAAUUAUUAUUAAUGAAUGCUUGGCUAGUAUCGUUUAAUUAUUUUCCUGUAUGGAAGGCAACUCGCCUUAGGCGUGCAAGCACACGCAAGCUUUUCUGCAACUGCAGCAGUUCACCACAAUAUCCAAUCGAGGCAGACCCAGGCCAAGGUAUAAAAGGGCCUUUGGCGAACUGCCAAUAGGGCCGACAGAAAACGACAGGCUCGUUAACGAAUAACCGGCGACAAUUAAGAUGCAGUCGAUUCUCCACAUCCAUGCUUGAAAAACGACCGCUUUCUUCAGCAUCCACCUACACAGGUAUUACACGAGUGUCACGCGUUGAGGCUAACUUAUGUGAUACUUGACACACUGGUAGCAGGCGAUAACGAGCCACCUGGAACGAGACUAACG